CCUGUCCCCAGAGUAAUGCAUUGUAGAUGUGGCUGCUGUGUCACAUGUACAUCAGUAGGUGGCAGAGAGAAGAUUAUGUCUACACUCAGUGUUCUAACCUAUGAACCUCUGAAUGAUUAGUAGUCUAACAGU